rnacentral:rRNA from 1 species
UACGGAGGGUGCACGCGUUAUCCGGAUUCACUGGGUUUAAAGGGUGCGUAGGUGGGCAGGUAAGUCAGUGGUGAAAUCUCUGAGCUUAACUCAGAAACUGCCGUUGAUACUAUCUGUCUUGAAUAUAGUGGAGGUGAGCGGAAUAUGUCAUGUAGCGGUGAAAUGCUUAGAUAUGACAUAGAACACCCAUUGCGAAGGCAGCUCGCUACACUAUCAUUGACACUGAGGCACGAAAGCGUGGGGAUCAAACAGG